rnacentral:lncRNA from 1 species
CCAACUUUAAAUACGAAAGAAAAUUACUCAAAUGAUAUUAUCAAUCACAGAAAUCUGAAAGUGUAAAGAGAGAAUGUUUUUAUAAUUUAAUCUCAGUUUGCAAGGAAAGAAAAUUGAAUGUCAACAGAAUGAUAACCAAAUUGCUGUAUCAAUAUUAUAUAUUAUCUUAACUCUGGCUCAAUAUUUGGAAGAAGAUGAUAGCAUCUCCUCUUCCUAAUCUUCCUAAUGUGAUGUGCUGUCAUAGUUGCCAUAUGUCCAUGAUAUUGGGAUAAAGAUUAUAAAGCUAAUAGUCAAGGCUAAUGAGCAAAAUUAUACUUAAAAGAUCAAGUGUAUUAUGUUUAUGUCUGUAUUUUAUUGGCAUAUACUGAAAAAUCCCAGAAACUUUGGAAGGUAAGAUUAAACUCUUAAAUGUUCCCCAUAAAAUAAAUGUUUUGUAUUAAUAGUUAUUUUCCAUAUUAAAAAUAAUUCUUUUGAAUCAUUCCUUACAAAAUAUCUACAAGUAUUGUUGGGAUGGCUAAGACAAGGACCUUAAAUAAUAAAAUCUUGACAUACUUCAUGCUAUGGAAGCAAUAAAUUUGAAAUUUAACAUUUGAAGUAAUCAUACAAAUAAUAAAAAUGUUAUAAGCAAUAAAAUUAUUGUUUCUUUUUCCUAAGAUGUAAUAGUGAAACAUACUGUUUUUACAAACAAAUUUUCACAAGCAACUGAUUUUGUAAACCAAUUUGACUUUCUUUUAAUCAGUAUUAACCCUUGCCAAUAGUAAUCAUAUUAAAAUUUUCUCAGUCUCUCCCCAAUAGGAAAUAAGUAGGAGGGACAUCAAGAAUGAAGGGUUUAUUUAUUAAAAGGGUGCUAACUCAUUCCAUUUGGAGACAAUGACAGUCGUAGAAGAACCAGCUUGGUUAAGAGAAGAAGACAUCUGACCAGAACAUAGAGGAGAAACCCCCUGUCUAAGGUGGACUCAUCAUUUGCUCUUUCCUGUCCUCUCAGAAAUCAUAUAUCCUCAGUGCAAUAGAAAUGGAAAAAUGCAAAGAUACAAAGAAACUUUUCGAGGUCGCAAGGCUGAGAGGUGCUUGAUCUGGAUUUGAACUCAGAUCUCUCUGAUUCUAAAGCCCACACACUUUCUACUAUGUCAACUUGCCUCUGUCAUGUAACAUAGGAUAAUUUUUCUUGCUGUACUCUUAUUAAUAACACUAAUGAUAGUAAUAAAUAAAACUGAGUUUAUUAUAUACCUUGCAAUGUUAUAAAUGCUUUACAUAUAUUUUUAAUCAUCAAAAUGACCUUAUGAAGAGAAUACCAUUAUAAUCUCCUUUUGCAUAUAGGUAAUCUGAAUGAAGCACAAGAUUAUUUUUAUAUGUUGCUUUCUUUUUAUAAUAGCAGCACAAUUCCUUAUUUAUCUUAAUUUAAAUUUUUAGUUAUUUUUUACUUUUUAUAUUUUUGUUUAUUUUGAUAUUUUUUAGUUAUAGUAGUGAAUAGGAAAAUCUCUGUAAAGGUUGAUUUGCUGUUAGCGCUAAGGUAAGCUUAUUACCUUUGUUUGAUUUUAAUGAACUUCAAGUGAACUUAAUAAUUUUUUUUCCUUUAAUUUGCCAAGUAUCAAGAAAUAUCUGAUCAACCAAAUUGAGCUCCUCAUUAUGGAUUGGACCUACAUGGGUUGUACCCUACCGGCCUUCAUCUCAUCCACAAGCAUCUACUCAUUUGUACCACAAUCAUUUAACAAGAUCUAUGAUUACCUUUUCAAACUACAGAAAGAAAACACUUUAUUUCCUUCUCUGUUUACAUCAAUUCAAACUCCACCACACCCAUCACAAACUCUAAACUCUUCAAAUCCACUAGGCAAAGCUCAUCAUUGCUCAACUCCAUUUAAGGAAAACCAGCAAACUCAAUUUCAAUCAAGAAUAGCCCCAGCACAUCUACCAAUACAGCUAAAUAUUAGAAUGACUGGUUUCCACCAACUACGUAUCUUACAAAUCUACCAUAUUGGAAUCCUUACAAUCCUCACAACACAUUCUUAAAGCAAUAUCAACAACUUCUUCUCUGUUAACCCCUAUUGUUACCAUGUCUAUCCAAAAUCCAACUCCUUAUACCAAUACUAAGUAACAUAUUGCUAUUGUCUUCACAACCACUCAAACCUACCCUACUACCACACCACCACAGAACCUACUAUAAUUGAUGCUCUCUCUAAUACCAGCAAGAAUGCUGCAAUUCCUAUUCAAUACACAGGUAUAAUUAUAGCUUAUGCCUGGGGCUACAUGGCUAUAUUGAAUUGUGAGUGUGUGUAUGUGUGUGUGUGUGUGUGUGUGUGUGUGUGUUUUGAGAGAACAGGAUUGAAAAUUAUAAAGCAUGCUGUCUCCCAUCACAAAAUUAAAACUCUAGUUAAAGAAAUAUAAAAUCAAAAUUUACAAAUUUUGUAAAGGCUUUCAGGAAAUUUCAUGGGACUAGGAUAUAGUAAUGAGAAGUAGUAAGAAAUAUCACAUUCACAAUACCUGCUUUGUGUAGCCAUUCAAGAGAGAAAUAAGCCACUAUGUUUAAAUAGUGCCAGUGUCUGAUUUUUGAAAUAAUACAUGACUUUACAUAAAUAUAUUGCAUGCAUUCAAGACUCUAACAUUAGAAUUCUGAUACCUGAUUAAAUUAUGGUACUUGUUCUACAUAAAGUGCCAUCUGAAAGUCUUAUACCUUAGACUAGGAAAUCAUCAUCCUAUUAGGAUAAUGCUUCACAGCAUGGUAAUGCUUCUCUUGAAUAUCAUCUAAUUGUUGUUACUCUGAAUAGACCUUUAAUAUAUUCCUCAAUCCAUUAUAAUAAAAGCCCUAAUCUAAUUAUCAUCAUUAAACAGCAUUUAUUUAGUACUUUCCUAUGUUCCAGGCAGUGUGAAUGUAAGCACUUCACAUUGAUUUAUUCAUGUAACACUUAAACAACUCUACAAUCAUGAAGAAAAUGAAGCAAGAAAAUAUAAAACACAGGUAGGUGUGAAAUCCAGGCAUUCUUUCUUCAAAUGCUCCAUGCUUAACUACUGCAAUGUUUCUAAAUAUGCCUUUCUACAUUAAAAUUGUAUAUAUGUUUAUCAAUACCCAAUAAAAGGAAUUUGGACUAAAUAAUUUGUAUAUUUCUUUAGGUUAAAGAAUAGAAUAAAUUCUUUCCAUAUUCUUAUUCUUAGUGUCACUAAUAUAAGGUACAUUACUAUAAAAUUUCUCAUGAAUUCAUUUCAAUAAAAGUAUAUUGGAAAUUACAUGUAACACCUGACUCCUGCUAAAAUGAUACUGAAAGAAAAUAAAGCAGAUAUGGACCUCAACUGCAAGGAACUUAGGAAUUCAUUCUUGAAUAUUAGCCACAUAAGUUUUAUGCCAAAAUAAAAGUGGCAAAUCUCAUUAAAAAUAUAUAAAGAAUCAUUGGGUUUCAGAUGAGGGAAAAAAAUAACUCAAGUUGGGCACAUAAGAAGACUCCCAAGAGUGAGAAUAUUUUAUUUGGGCCUGAAAGAACAUGAAGGUCAUUGAGACCCCUAGUUUAGAAGUCUAGGAGCAUUCCAGAAAGAGUGAAGAACAUCAGAAAAGCAACAGACCUUUAAGGAAAAUAGGAUGUGGUUUAGAUAAUCCAGAGCAAAUGGUUCAUGAAGAGGGUAGUGGAGGAGAAAAUAAGAUUUAAAAAAGGAGAGGCAGGGUUCAAAUUACAUAGACUUUUAAAUGAACUCUUUUCUACAGGUAUAACCAGUACCUGACCUUCUGUACUCACAUCCUGCUAACUUCCUUCAUUUCUCUAGGCACAAUCUUAUUGUCACUGCUUUUUCAAAGAAUCUACCACAUAUCACCACUUCCUCAGGGUCCACGCUCUUACCACUCCCCAGACAGCCCCCAAACCUACUACUUCCACAAGGACCACAUUAGCAAGAAUGGUCAUCAACAUGCUCCCAAAUGUGCUCACUACAUCUCCUUCUUCAGAAACAUGGGUGCCUAUAACAAUAUCAGCACUAACCAACAAAAUGUAGGCUAAGUUUAGCAACAACUCAUCUAGAGGUAAAUUGGGGACUGGACAAAAAGUUGCAUCUGGAACUUCUUUGACUAAUGCGAGCCUUAGCAAAUUCAGGACUACCCCGAAACUUUGUAAGUCAGCACUAAGGUUGAUGACAAUCAUGUGGAUUUUGACACUGACCUUAAAGCUGGCACCACCUUUGAAAAAGGAACAAUUGCUAUUUCUCCAAAUGAUGUCAAUCCCAAAGAAGCUUAUGUGUGAAUAUAAUCUAUGCAGUAGAUAGUUCUCCAAUCACAAUUUGAAAAAAAGCAUGCAAGAGAAUGUGUUAAGGACAAAGCUAGAGAAAUAAGUGUGUAGCACUGUAGCAAUUAAUUAGGAAAUAAACUGUCAUUUUAAAUUCUCUAUUGAUUACUGUCACACAAAAUAAUUUACUGUGAUUUUCUAUUGCCAUACACUGUAAUACUUUCAAAACUAAAAAUGACACUUUAUAGAUGAAUCAUAUGAAGAGAUACUAUGAAGAACUUCAGGUGGCAGCCGGGGCACAGCGGUUCACACAUGUAAUCCUGGCACUUAGGGAGACUGAGGGGGGUGGAUCACAAGGUCAGGAGUUCAAAACCAGCCUGGCCAACAAAAUGAAACUCCGUCUCUACUAAAAAUACAAAAAGUUAGCCAAGUAUGGUGGUGGGUGCUUGUAAUCCCAGCUACUUGGAAGGCUGAGGCAGGAGAAUCACUUGAACCAAGGAGGUGGGGGUUGCAGUGAGCCGAGAUUGCGCCAUUGCACUCCAGCCCUGGUGACAGUGCAA